GCGAUACUUGGUGUGAAUUGCAGAAUUCAGUGAAUCAUCGAAUCUUUGAACGCACCUUGCGCCCUUUGGUAUUCCGAGGGGCAUGCCUGUUUGAGUGUCAUUAAAUACCAUCAACCCUCUUUUGACUUCGGUCUCGAGAGUGGCUUGGAAGUGGAGGUCUGCUGGAGCCUAACGGAGCCAGCUCCUCUUAAAUGUAUUAGCGGAUUUCCCUUGCGGGAUCGCGUCUCCGAUGUGAUAAUUUCUACGUCGUUGACCAUCUCGGGGCUGACCUAGUCAGUUUCAAUAGGAGUCUGCUUCCAACCGUCUCUUGACCGAGACUAGCGACUUGUGCGCUAACUUUUGACUUGACCUCAAAUCAGGUAGGACUACCCGCUGAACUUAAGCAUAUCAAUAAGCGGA
rnacentral:rRNA from 1 species